GACGAACGCUGGCGGCGCGCUUAACACAUGCAAGUCGAACGGAAAGGCCUGCUUUCCCUUGUGGAUUGCGGGUACUCGAGUGGCGAACGGGUGAGUAACACGUGAGUGAUCUGCCCCCAACUUGGGUAUAAGCCUGGGAAACUGGGUCUAAUUCCCGAUAGGACUGCAGGGUGGUGCCUGUGGUGGAAAACGAUUUUCUAGUGGUUGGGGAUGAGCUCGCGGCCUAUCAGCUUGUUGGUGGGGUAAUGGCCUACCAAGGCGGCGACGGGUAGCCGGCCUGAGAGGGUGGACGGCCACAUUGGGACUGAGAUACGGCCCAGACUCCUACGGGAGGCAGCAGUGGGGAAUAUUGCACGAUGGGCGGAAGCCUGAUGCAGCGACGCCGCGUGGGGGAUGACGGCCUUCGGGUUGUAAACUCCUUUCGACCGCGAGGAAGCCACCUGGUUGGAAGGGUGGUGACGGUAGUGGUAGGAGAAGCACCGGCUAACUACGUG
rnacentral:rRNA from 1 species